rnacentral:rRNA from 1 species
CGUGGGUAACCUACCUAUAAGACUGGGAUAACUCCGGGAAACCGGGGCUAAUACCGGAUAAUAUUUUGAACCGCAUGGUUCAAUAGUGAAAGACGGUUUCGGCUGUCACUUAUAGAUGGACCCGCGCCGUAUUAGCUAGUUGGUAAGGUAAUGGCUUACCAAGGCGACGAUACGUAGCCGACCUGAGAGGGUGAUCGGCCACACUGGAACUGAGACACGGUCCAGACUCCUACGGGAGGCAGCAGUAGGGAAUCUUCCGCAAUGGGCGAAAGCCUGACGGAGCAACGCCGCGUGAGUGAUGAAGGUCUUCGGAUCGUAAAACUCUGUUGUUAGGGAAGAACAAAUUUGUUAGUAACUGAACAAGUCUUGACGGUACCUAACCAGAAAGCCACGGCUAACUACGUGCCAGCAGCCGCGGUAAUACGUAGGUGGCAAGCGUUAUCCGGAAUUAUUGGGCGUAAAGCGCGCGUAGGCGGUUUCUUAAGUCUGAUGUGAAAGCCCACGGCUCAACCGUGGAGGGUCAUUGGAAACUGGGAAACUUGAGUGCAGAAGAGGAGAG